GGGGGGGGGGGGGGGGGGGGGGGGGGGGGGGGGGGGGGGGGGGGGGGCGGGAAUGAGUGCGUCGGGAGGAGGUUGAGGGGAUUAGUGGCGAACGGGUGAGUAACGCGGGAGUAACCUGCCUUACACAAGGGGAGAGCCUCUGGAAACGGAGAAUAAUACCCUAUGAAACUAUCUUAUCGCAUGAAAAGAUAGUCAAAGUGUUUUAGCGGUGUAAGAUGGACUUGCGUCUGAUUAGCUAGUUGGUGAGAUAACAGCCCACCAAGGCAACGAUCAGUAGCCGGCUUGAGAGAGUGUACGGCCACAUUGGGACUGAGACACGGCCCAGACUCCUACGGGAGGCAGCAGUGGGGAAUUUUGCACAAUGGGGGCAACCCUGAUGCAGCGACGCCGCGUGAUUUAGAAGGCCUUCGGGUUGUAAAAAUCUUUUGUAUAGGAAGAAAAUGACAGUACUAUACGAAUAAGGUCCGGCUAAUUACGUG
rnacentral:rRNA from 1 species